rnacentral:rRNA from 1 species
AACGAACGCUGGCGGCAUGCCUAACACAUGCAAGUCGAACGAGACCUUCGGGUCUAGUGGCGCACGGGUGCGUAACACGUGGGAAUCUGCCCUUUGCUUUGGAAUAACAGUUAGAAAUGACUGCUAAUACCGGAUGAUGUCGAAAGACCAAAGAUUUAUCGGCAAAGGAUGAGCCCGCGUAGGAUUAGGUAGUUGGUGGGGUAAAGGCCUACCAAGCCGACGAUCCUUAGCUGGUCUGAGAGGAUGAUCAGCCACACUGGGACUGAGACACGGCCCAGACUCCUACGGGAGGCAGCAGUGGGGAAUAUUGGACAAUGGGCGAAAGCCUGAUCCAGCAAUGCUGCGUGAGUGAUGAAGGCCUUAGGGUUGUAAAGCUCUUUUACCAGGGAUGAUAAUGACAGUACCUGGAGAAUAAGCUCCGGCUAACUCCGUG